CAGUAGCCGCGGGAAUACGAAGGGUGCAAGCGUUAAUCGGAAUUACUGGGCGUAAAGCGUGCGUAGGCGGUUUGUUAAGUCUGUUGUGAAAUCCCCGGGCUCAAUCUGGGAAUGGCAAUGGAUACUGGCAAGCUAGAGUGUGUCAGAGGAUGGUGGAAUUCCCGGUGUAGCGGUGAAAUGCGUAGAGAUCGGGAGGAACAUCAGUGGCGAAGGCGGCCAUCUGGGACAACACUGACGCUGAGGCACGAAAGCGUGGGGAGCAAACAGGAUUAGAUACCCGCGUAGUCCCUGUCUCUUAUAA
rnacentral:rRNA from 1 species